GUGGCCUGUGAGGGUUGCUGGAGGUAUCAGAAGUGCGAAUGCUGACAUAAGUAACGAUAAAGCGGGUGAAAAGCCCGCUCGCCGGAAGACCAAGGGUUCCUGUCCAACGUUAAUCGGGGCAGGGUGAGUCGACCCCUAAGGCGAGGCCGAAAGGCGUAGUCGAUGGGAAACGGGUUAAUAUUCCCGUACUUGGUGUUACUGCGAAGGGGGGACGGAGAAGGCUAUGUUGGCCGGGCGACGGUUGUCCCGGUUUAAGCGUGUAGGUGUGUGUUCCAGGUAAAUCCGGUUCACUUUAACACUGAGGCGUGACGACGAGGCACUACGGUGCUGAAGCAACAAAUGCCCUGCUUCCAGGAAAAGCCUCUAAGCAUCAGGUAACAUCAAAUCGUACCCCAAACCGACACAGGUGGUCAGGUAGAGAAUACCAAGGCGCUUGAGAGAACUCGGGUGAAGGAACUAGGCAAAAUGGUGCCGUAACUUCGGGAGAAGGCACGCUGACACGUAGGUGAAGUGAUUUACUCAUGGAGCUGAAGUCAGUCGAAGAUACCAGCUGGCUGCAACUGUUUAUUAAAAACACAGCACUGUGCAAACACGAAAGUGGACGUAUACGGUGUGACGCCUGCCCGGUGCCGGAAGGUUAAUUGAUGGGGUCAGCGCAAGCGAAGCUCCUGAUCGAAGCCCCGGUAAACGGCGGCCGUAACUAUAACGGUCCUAAGGUAGCGAAAUUCCUUGUCGGGUAAGUUCCGACCUGCACGAAUGGCGUAAUGAUGGCCAGGCUGUCUCCACCCGAGACUCAGUGAAAUUGAACUCGCUGUGAAGAUGCAGUGUACCCGCGGCAAGACGGAAAGACCCCGUGAACCUUUACUAUAGCUUGACACUGAACAUUGAGCCUUGAUGUGUAGGAUAGGUGGGAGGCUUUGAAGCGUGGACGCCAGUCUGCGUGGAGCCGACCUUGAAAUACCACCCUUUAAUGUUUGAUGUUCUAACGUGGACCCGUUACCCGGGUUGCGGACAGUGUCUGGUGGGUAGUUUGACUGGGGCGGUCUCCUCCUAAAGAGUAACGGAGGAGCACGAAGGUUGGCUAAUCCUGGUCGGACAUCAGGAGGUUAGUGCAAUGGCAUAAGCCAGCUUGACUGCGAGCGUGACGGCGCGAGCAGGUGCGAAAGCAGGUCAUAGUGAUCCGGUGGUUCUGAAUGGAAGGGCCAUCGCUCAACGGAUAAAAGGUACUCCGGGGAUAACAGGCUGAUACCGCCCAAGAGUUCAUAUCGACGGCGGUGUUUGGCACCUCGAUGUCGGCUCAUCACAUCCUGGGGCUGAAGUAGGUCCCAAGGGUAUGGCUGUUCGCCAUUUAAAGUGGUACGCGAGCUGGGUUUAGAACGUCGUGAGACAGUUCGGUCCCUAUCUGCCGUGGGCGCUGGAGAACUGAGGGGGGCUGCUCCUAGUACGAGAGGACCGGAGUGGACGCAUCACUGGUGUUCGGGUUGUCAUGCCAAUGGCACUGCCCGGUAGCUAAAUGCGGAAGAGAUAAGUGCUGAAAGCAUCUAAGCACGAAACUUGCCCCGA
rnacentral:rRNA from 1 species